rnacentral:lncRNA from 1 species
GAUAGUACAGCUUUCACAGGAGCAAGGAUGCCUGAGCACAAGUGCCUGAGUUCCGAGUGACUUUAUGAAGCACUUUUUCUACAUUCCUCUUGCAUAAAAACAGGAAUUCUGCACCUGUAUCAGGGACAGUCCAGCAGAGACCUCUGCUAUGCCUCCGGGGACAAGGAACAAGCACAAAUAACCCUUUUGAAACUGAAGAAGAGCUAACAGGGUGGACAUGACAUCCAAGGAUAAAUGUUGAGACAGAUGCAGAUGUCUUUGGCAGUCUGAAAAUCUGCAGUGUUAAAAGCAGAAUAAUGAUUUCACUG